rnacentral:lncRNA from 1 species
UAAAUUUUUAUGCUUUCAUUAAACUAUUAACCUAUGAUUACAAGUAAAUUUAAUGUAGUAUCAAUAGAAGCAAACAAAUGAACACCUAAGGUUCUUUAUGCAUAACAGUAUAUACAUAUUUUGUUUAAAAUUUACUUUCUUGAAAUCUAGCUAUAUACCUUUACAUUGCACCUUAUUUAUUUAUCUACAUCCAUUCUUCCUUUUUCUCAUGGUAUAGCAGUUACUAGGUUUAGGUGAGAUGACACAUGGCCCAUGUUGGUACCAAAAUGGCUGCAACAGUUCAGUGAUAGGCCCUGUCUAUCCUAAGCCAACUAUAAUCCUAUCCCUAUGAGGUACAUCAGCCUGAGGAUGAAGCUGACACGAAGGACUGCAGAAUAUAACUGGAGUACAAUACAUUUUCUUUGUUUAAUCCAGUUUGACUUAGGUUUCAUAUUGUUAUUUAUAUUUGUUAUAUUUAUUUAUAUGUUAUUCAUUACUUAUAACUAAAAGAACUCUAAACAAUCUAAAGUAAACAAAGACUACUUAAAUUGAAAAUAAAAAAACUUUUCUUAGAAACAAUGUUCCUCUUCAUCUUAACGUAUCUCAUAUAAUUUUAACAGUAAAACUUAAAAUACAAUAUACAUCAAUAUGCUUCAAAAUUACAACUUUAAAAGCCAGACAAUCUCCCUUCCACUCCAGCCUGGUGGGGGCUGGAGUCUGCGUGAUAAGGCAAUGAGAGGUGUCAGAUGGGGAUGGUUUACUAAUUUCCUCCCCUCCUAUUUAAUAAAGAAGGGACAUAGGUAAAUUGGGGAGUUCUGAUAACUGAUAACCAAAAAAUUUAGGUAACAGUUAAAGCUUUAGGCCUGCAAAUAAUUUAACCUCAGAACCAAUUCACUCCUCAUUGUCUGGCCACCUAAAGAUAAAGUAAAAUUUUGGGGUCAAAAUAGGCAAACUUGGCCCUAAAAUAAUGUUCACCGUCACCUAGCACAGGUAACCAACUUUUGUUCACAUUACUGUAGAUCCUUGCUGACUAAAAAGAAAUGUAAUAGCUCUAUUAAGGAACUUCAACUCAAAAUGAAGAAAAUAUUAAUAUGACCAGAAUGCUAUUUCAUGCUAGACAGUGCCAGGUUUAGACUCAUGUUGUUCAGC